GAGGGUGUAGCUCAGUGGUAGAGUGCAUGCCUAGUAUGCUUGAGGUCCUGGAUUCAAUCUCUAGUACCUCCA
rnacentral:tRNA from 1 species